UACGUAGGGUGCAAGCGUUAAUCGGAAUUACUGGGCGUAAAGCGUGCGCAGGCGGUUAUGUAAGACAGAUGUGAAAUGCCCGGGCUUAACCUGGGAACUGCAUUUGUGACUGCAUGGCUAGAGUUUGGCAGAGGGGGGUAGAAUUCCACGUGUAGCAGUGAAAUGCGUAGAUAUGUGGAGGAACACCGAUGGCGAAGGCAGCCCCCUGGGUCAAGACUGACGCUCAUGCACGAAAGCGUGGGGGAGCAAACAGG
rnacentral:rRNA from 1 species